UGUGAUAUGAAACAAAGCAGACGCAACAAGCUCCGGCUGUAACGCAGUUUUAAUUGUUUUGCAGGUGAGUGGGGAAAACGUUGCUGACCUUCAGGAGGCGCGCAGAGCACCGUCGCCUCGUUUCCAUGGUUACAGUCUCCCGUGACAAACGUCUUGCUCCUGCACGCGCUCAAGCUCUUCUCGUCGCCACGGCAACCCAGCCGCUCAAAGUGGUAGAGGCCGGAGCCCGAGCCGAACUGGGAGUGCUGCAGCGCCGUGCCGAUGUCGCUGUCCGGGAGAAACCCAGACCCGGUGAGAACAUCCAAUCGCAUGGCGUACGCCAGCAGUGGCUCCGCCUACCUCAACCCCAGCUGCCUGCAGAUGACGCUGGCGUCUCUGUCGGACCAGUGAGAGUCGCACACCGCCCCCCACUGGCCGUUCAGGUAGACUUCCACCCGGCCGCUGCUGGAUGACGAGCCGCCCACCAGCCGAGCCGCGCCUAGAGGACAGAAAACCAGAAGUGGCCGUAAGCAACAUGACUCGGAGAAAAAGGAAGCGACUCCCAGUUAACAUCCCUACACCAUUGCAAACAUCCAUUGUGACACCUUCUGAAGAAUAAUGGAAGGAGCCGGAACAGACAAAUGGAAUGUGGACGGAAUGGGUGAAGCACAAGAAGAACGAAAGAAAGAAAAAAAAAAGGCUCCUUUGCAUCAAAACAAUGGAGUCAAAACCACAACCGAUGUCACUUGUGUAUCGCGGGUGUGCUUCCUGUCAGCAGGUAAAGCAAGAAAGUUUGACAGCUGUUUGUCUCCUUUCCCGGAAAUCAGGUCACAUUCCACAAGGGGAAGACACCAAAGGUGACUCGGCACCACCACGCUGAUCUUGCAAGGCCACCAUCCCGUGCUGCCUUCAGGUACGGCCUGCACGCAAAACUAGAAGGAGACCUUUGUUUUCCGGAGAUGACUUCCUCCUGCUCUUUAUCUCUCCUCCUGCAUGCCGCUUUGCCUUCAAGCCGGGAUUAAUUCAACUUUAUCCACUUCACAUACGCUUUAGUUUUACCCGCACAUGCUCCAGGCUGGAAGAUUACUGGGGGAAAAUGAUUUCCUUUUUUUAGGACUUGCCU